CAUCAGGAAGAAAUAAGAUCC
rnacentral:piRNA from 1 species